rnacentral:rRNA from 1 species
GCACAAGCGGUGGAGCAUGUGGUUUAAUUCGAAGCAACGCGAAGAACCUUACCAGGUCUUGACAUCCCGAUGCUAUUCUAGAGAUAGAAAGUUACUUCGGUACAUCGGUGACAGGUGGUGCAUGGUUGUCGUCAGCUCGUGUCGUGAGAUGUUGGGUUAAGUCCCGCAACGAGCGCAACCCUUGCCAUUAGUUGCUACGAAAGGGCACUCUAAUGGGACUGCCGGUGACAAACCGGAGGAAGGUGGGGAUGACGUCAAGUCCUCAUGGCCCUUAUAGGUGGGGCUACACACGUCAUACAAUGGCCGGUACAGAGGGUAGCCAACCCGCGAGGGGGAGCCAAUCCCACAAAGCCGGUCGUAGUCCGGAUCGCAGUCUGCAACUCGACUGCGUGAAGUCGGAAUCGCUAGUAAUCGCGGAUCAGCAUGUCGCGGUGAAUACGUUCCCGGGUCUU